UGUAAGAGUGAUGGCUGCACACUGGUCAUAGCAUUAAAGGAGGCAGGCAGUGUUCAGUGCUGUCCUGAAGAAAAAAGUGCACAGGGACCACUCAUA